AAUCCUGGAGGAUAUGUCAUGUUAAUUUUAUUGUUGGUGUCGGUGAAUUAUCCUUGAGGACAAUGAUAGCAUGCCUUAAGCUAUAUUAGUUUUCACCUAUUUCAUGCCUCAAUAUUUUCUUACAAGGCUUUAGGUGUUCUAUUCUCCGGAUGGCUUGCCGUUAGCAAGGUUCUUCCCGAAGGGCAUCGUGCAUGGUGUGAGGCUGUAUGGGAUUUUGGUGACGGUGAGUGGUAGAUGAGGUUUGAUGAUUGGAUUGCAAGAGGAGGAGGAGGAGGUGGUGGUGGUGGAUAUAGGAGGAGUUCAAGGAGAUCUUCUGAUCACGUUGGAAGAGAAGGAGCAUAGGUUUUGGAGGUUGGGAGUGAUGAGGGGUUUAUGCACACAAGGUGUUUGAUGAAUGUCCAGAAUGAUGGAGUUAGUGAAAAAGGAGAUGUGAAUUAUAAGCGUAAUCAACACCAUCCUACCAGCCGCCAAAUCCUCUAUACUGAUCACCUCCUUUAGCUGCGCCACCAUCUCUCCACCCUCCACAUCCAUUGCGAUCCACCGCCUCAUCUUAGCAGUUCUUCAAUCACUCACUGGAGAUUCUAUGGAUCUAAAGUAUGAUGUGCCAGAGCUUUUCUGAAGAGCAUAACGUGGGACAAUCUUCAAAAGUAUAGUGCAAGAAGACAAUGAACAUGAUGGAUACCAGAUGUUCAGAUGCAUUCAAUACUGAUUAAGAUGGAAUGUGACUCAAAUUUUUGAGAUGAUCAGGUUGAAAUGAAGAGUACAUUUAACAUUCAUGAAGAUAAUCUGGGGAAUUUGAGGAACAGGGAAGCUAUAGUUCGGAAUCAAGAAGUACGAAUGCCUGAAGCUGGUUCAAAAGGUGCACCAAAAUAUCCUAGUGAAUUGAAGGAUGAUACAAGCGCAUCAUGUGAAAAAAAGAAGCCACCAAGAAAUUGAUGUUAGCCAUCCCGACUUUUUAGCAAUGCGAAGCUUAAUGAGUUACGCUCCUCCAAAUAAUGAAGCAAAAUCUUUGACUCAUUAAAUUCUAGCAUUCUCCAAAGCUUAAUGUCUUUUGUACUAUCUUUUCAAUUGUAAGAAAUUAGUGUUUCUUGCUUUAAGUAAUUGAUUUAGUAGCAAACCAUGAAGAAAAACACUCUCUGCAAAGCAUGAUAAUGUUGGUGAAUAUCAAAUAAACUGUGAUAUUUCAAGAAUUAGUCGAAUAUUAUUGGUGGACAAAGAGUAAUCUUCAAUUAGAUUGUUAGGUGUAAAUGACUUAAAAGAACAAGAAAAGGUACCUUCUCUUAUCUUUGAUGAAGAAGUUCCAUUAACUAAGAUUAG